UACGGAGGGUGCGAGCGUUGCUCGGAAUCAUUGGGCGUAAAGCGUACGCAGGCGGCUCAAUAAGUCGGGUGUGAAAGCCCAGGGCUCAACCCUGGAAAUGCGCCCGAAACUGUCGAGCUUGAGUGCGGGAGAGGGAAGCGGAAUUCCUGGUGUAGAGGUGAAAUUCGUAGAUAUCAGGAGGAACACCGGUGGCGAAAGCGGCUUCCUGGCCCGAUACUGACGCUCAUGUACGAAAGCGUGGGGAGCAAACAGG
rnacentral:rRNA from 1 species